GACGUAGGGCGCGAGCGUUGUCCGGAUUUAUUGGGCGUAAAGAGCUCGUAGGCGGCUUGUUGCGUCGACCGUGAAAACCCGUGGCUCAACUGCGGGCUUGCGGUCGAUACGGGCAGGCUAGAGUCUGGUAGGGGAGCAUGGAAUUCCUGGUGUAGCGGUGAAAUGCGUAGAUAUCAGGAGGAACACCGGUGGCGAAGGCGGGUCUCUGGCCGUAACUGACGCUGAGGAGCGAAAGCAUGGGGAGCGAACAGG
rnacentral:rRNA from 1 species